rnacentral:lncRNA from 10 species
GUCAAUGCUGAAUCGACUUCUCCCUUUCUACAUUGCCUGAGAGAAGUCAUUGGGGAAUACUCUGUACACGAAUUUUCACUGUUGGGGAAAACAGAGAGUCAAGGGAUUGGAUUGUGGAUUGCAUUGGUGGUUUUCCUCAGUUUCCUCAUCUUCUCCACAAGUUUCUACAUAUCGAAUGCAGAGCAGCCCUUCUUCAAAGGACCUCCUACGGAAGCUGCUAAGGAACUCAGUCUGUAGCUCUGCGUGGAGCCAUGUGUAAACACUGAACUGAGACCUGCCACCUCCUACUACCUAAGGGCCCAUUUUCAUCUGAUAUCAUCCCCCAGAAACAAACUCAUGAUGACUUCCAUGUUUUUUUUAGAUUAGAUACAUGGAGAAUUUUCCUUUCCCUUAGAAUUAAAAUCCUGCAUUCUAAUUUUC